rnacentral:rRNA from 1 species
CCUACGGGUGGCAGCAGUGAGGAAUAGUGGUCAAUGGGCGCGAGCCUGAACCAGCCAAGUAGCGUGAAGGAUGACUGCCCUACGGGUUGUAAACUUCUGUUAUAAAGGAAUAAAGUGAGGCACGUGUGCCUUUUUGUAUGUACUUUAUGAAUAAGGAUCGGCUAACGCCGUGCCAGCAGCCGCGGUAAUACGGAGGGUCCGAGCGUUAUCCGGAUUGAUUGGGUUUAAAGGGAGCGUAGAUGGGUUGUUAAGUCAGUGGUGAAAGUUUGCGGCUCAACCGUAAAAUUGCAAGUGAUACUGGCAGUCCUGAGUACAGUUGAGGUUGGCUGCAUUCGUGGUGUAGCUG